rnacentral:rRNA from 1 species
UACGGAGGGUGCAAGCGUUGUCCGGAAUCACUGGGCGUAAAGGGCGCGUAGGCGGCUCAUGAAGGCUGUGGUGAAAGUCCGGGGCUCAACCUCGGAUCGGCCGUGGCGACUCGUGGGCUGGAGCACUGUAGAGGCGGGUGGAAUUCCGGGUGUAGCGGUGGAAUGCGUAGAGAUCCGGAGGAACACCAGUGGCGAAGGCGGCCCGCUGGGCAGUGGCUGACGCUGAGACGCGAAAGCGUGGGGAGCGAACAGG